CCUUAACGUAAGUCAGGGGCGUGCCACUGGGCAAAGUGGGUCGGCUCGUUGUUAAACACAUAACAAGAAACGUAUAACAAUACUGUGUUUUUUAUCACUCGGCCAAGUUGUUCAAAAGUUUUUGUUAACAGAAGCCGAACACGAAUUCACACAAUAGGUGUAUUCGCGCUGCGGAGACCGUCAAAUUGUCUUUUACCUCAAAACUAAAAUCGAGUGUAGACUGCUCUGUAUGCUUUUUAAUUACUCUUGCAGUAUUUGAUGUCAUUCACAAGCAGUUCAAAUGCAUUACUUUAUAAUACACAUACUUAGGGGUGGGCGAUAAACCGGUAGAUAUGAUAAACCAGUAGAAAUUUGUCAACCGGUAGAGAUUUUGGACUAUCGGAAAAUUAAAUUAAUGUUUAAAGGCAUUGAUUUUAUUGUUGCUGUUAUAACAUUGCUCAUGCUGACCACUCUUUCCUUUUUACAGAGAAUGAGGUUGAUGGUGAAACAAUAGAUUGUGGCCUUACAGAGAACAUGGUUUCAUACUUUUUUUUAAAGAAGCCUUCAAAUAAGUUUCUAUGUGAGAUGAAGGAGGUGGUGACAAUAACUUUAGAACCAGUGCCGGCAGAGAACUAUCAAGAUACUUCAUCUACUGAAAUCACACUUGGCACCAAUCCCUCAAACAGAAAUUUAAAGCUGAACGUGCACCUCUGCUCCAUGAUGAGGUGAGAAAAAGUAAGGACAAGUUUGGGUGCAAAAGACUGAGGCCCACUGAACAAUCUUCACCAGCGUGUCACAGAUCUACUUAUGGGGUAAGUAAAUUCAUUUGUAGUUCAAGUUUAUUAGUCAAGGGCCACAAAUAUUUGACAUAGGGUAUGGGUAUAUAUUGUGGUAUGAAAAACUAAAGAAAUUUCACCUAAUGACUUAUAGCUACAUUAAUCUUUCUAAAUGUCAUUGGAGAUAUAAUUUUGUCUGUGAGUGCAUUUUCUUAACCAUUUUCUUUUUAAUCAUAAACAUUUAUAGGUUGGUGUGGUUUGAAGUAAAAUUUGUAUUUCUUCUAUUAUUAUAAUUGUGCACAUUUUAUUUGGUUUUAACAGGAGAUUUUUGUCAAUGGUGAGGAUGCAUCCUCUAUUCAUUUAAUUUGAAUUUAUUUUGAAAAUGUUAUGUUCAUAUAAACUUUCUCUUUCUUUUAAUUUGCAUUCAUCAACUGUCAGCUUAAGGCAGCGCUUCAGGGAGGGCUUUACCAGUCUUGUGCCAAAGGUGCUUCACCUUGUGCAAAAAAUGCUCCACUUCCCAAAAUCUACAAAGCAAGAGUUGAGAUGCUUGCAGAAGAUCUACCGGAUGCUGACUUUCGUGCGACUCUCACAUCCUUAAAGAGAAAGCAGAGAGAUUCGUCACACUAGGAGAGUGUGAUGCUGAUACUCCAUACCCAACUAUACAGUUGGUUGAAGCUGACUGGAAAACGGCUUUCUCCAAGAGGGUUCAAGUUCUUGUCAAAGUGGAUCGGGUGGAGGUGUGUCAGGGAAUGGGAGUUGAAGAAGGGAUACAGUAAUUGCAGCCUUCAGUGCUUACUAUGUUUUCAACUUGGCUUAUCCACCCUGCAUGAAGAAUACACUGACCUUCUUGCAGCAUGCCAUAGCCAAGAUCAUUAAGGUGGGUGGCAAGCCCCCUCCAAAAACUGUCACCCGAAUGAUCAGUAUCCUGUGCUGAACAUGCCACAACAUUAUUGAUGCACAAGGUGCAGAAGAAAAAUCUUCACCUUAAUGAAACUAAUUCAACAUGUUAGUAUGGUUCACAACCACGAACCAAAUUUCAGUAUCAUAUGUGGACUAAAUAGCUGUAAGUCAUCUUUUACUGUAUACGAGUCUUUCAGACGUCAUGUCUAUCAUAAACACAGGAAACUUGAAAGUGAAGGGUUCAAGGUAAUAGUAGAUGGUAUUAAACAGACUAUUCACAGCGUAUGAUUACCAGUGGUGUAUGAUUCACACUUUCAUGCAUACACAAUCAAGUUGACCCUGAGUGGAGUUUUAUAAAACCAGGGCAAGAGAUGGACUUUCAGGCCCCUGACACAUACUCUCUUGAUGAUAAAAUGUUUGUGAUCC